rnacentral:rRNA from 1 species
AGUGAACGCUGGCGGUAGGCCUAACACAUGCAAGUCGAACGGCAGCACAGUAAGGGCUUGCUCUUACGGGUGGCGAGUGGCGGACGGGUGAGGAAUACAUCGGAAUCUACUUUUUCGUGGGGGAUAACGUAGGGAAACUUACGCUAAUACCGCAUACUAUCUACGGGUGAAAGCAGGGGAUCUUCGGACCUUGCGCGAUUGAAUGAGCCGAUGUCGGAUUAGCUAGUUGGCGGGGUAAAGGCCCACCAAGGCGACGAUCCGUAGCUGGUCUGAGAGGAUGAUCAGCCACACUGGAACUGAGACACGGUCCAGACUCCUACGGGAGGCAGCAGUGGGGAAUAUUGGACAAUGGGCGCAAGCCUGAUCCAGCCAUACCGCGUGGGUGAAGAAGGCCUUCGGGUUGUAAAGCCCUUUUGUUGGGAAAGAAAAGCAGCAGGUUAAUACCCCGCUGUUCUGACGGUACCCAAAGAAUAAGCACCGGCUAACUUCGU